AUCAUCCAUAAACUAUGACAUAAACAUAAGCUACGUCCUUUUGUUAUCUUAAUAAACAAAAAACAUCCACAUACUAUUUCAAAAGUUGCAAGAUCCUCCUUCUAGAUAACAGAGUAGCUUCUGCCCACUGAGUCCUCUCCCUUCACAAGACUGGAAUUGAUAAAAAAGAUGGUGCGUCUCGGGGCGGAAUUGGUCUUGCUAGCUUUUUCCUAUAGGCGAGACGCACUGUUUUGAGGACUUUUACCCAAAAAGAGGAGAUUCAGUAGGUGGGCGAGUGUACUAGCAAUGGUUACGGCUGUUUCUUUAGCCUAUGGUGAUUCUAUUCAAUUGACAUUAUCUGCCCUGAAAAAGCUAACUUUUAGAGUUCCAUCAUGGUCAGCCCGACACUCACAUAAGAAAUACCACCCUUAGCAGAUCUAUUGUCUCCUCCGGACACCAAAAGAAAAGGCAUCAACCAAAAAAAAAUGUGUCAGGUCCGUGACUUUUCCCACCCCAGUUCCGAUUGUCUUCCACCUCCAGGAUCCAACAAGAAUGCAUGUACAUGUUGGUAAAGUGUGUGACUGUGUGUGCUUGACAAAGUCUGUAAAGCAAUAAAGACUAGAUUCACAAAGAACUUGAUGGCUGGUACAUGCCCGCAAAACCGAGCUAAGGGGUUCAAGCGCUUUUCACCAUGUCACUACUUCCGAGGCUUUGAGGGAUCGGAGCUUGAAAUGAAGGCUUGAAGCUCAAAAACAUGCUAAAAUUGAAGUACAAGACUCCACAUGGAUGAAUACUUGGAGCUCACUGUUUGGAGGUGCGGAAAUGGAUGCGAUUGCAAGUGGGAGAUGCGACAGCCACACAUAGUCCAUUUAAGGUUGUUUUUGCAAUUUUCAGAAUGACACACCAUUUGGGCAUUUAUGUAAUAGCUAGCUAUAUAGACUAUAAAUAGGUGCGAAUAACUCAUUUAGACUUAGAUUUUGAGAUUAUUUUGGAUAUUGAGUGAUGCUCGAGAGUAGGGGCUAUGACCUUGCAUUGUUAUACCAUGUUGAUGGGAUUGCUUGCCGGAGGAUUUCAUUGCCUCUUGAGGGUUAUCUUAGAUAAUAGAUUGCUUGAGGAGUCCAUCCUCUUGAGGGUUAUCCUAUAGAUUUGGUGCUUGUUUGUGGAUUUUUAAUUGAAGAUUUUAGCUUUGUA